rnacentral:lncRNA from 1 species
AUUAUCUGACCCAAAAGAAACUACCCAAGUGGAUUUGAUCUCCUCUUUCAAAUAUAAAAUUAACCAAAAGGGUUCAAAUACAAUAAGCUUUCACACCAGUCUUGUUGUUCAUCUGCUUCAAUAAUACAACCAACAUUUCCUCCGCUUUCUCUCUCCUCCGUCGCGCUGCCGGAGAGAGAUAAUAUAAUCUUCCAAAUUCUCAUAAUAAUACAAACAAUGAGAUGAUCGAGGAGGCUAAUUAAUUGUUAAAAGACCCACCACGAUCUUGAACUCUCUUUCAAGUUUCAACAACACAUAGAGAGAGAGAAUUUAUGAGCCCUAGAUCUCUUCAUUCUAUGCACAGAAAGAGAUUUUGUUAUAUUUUCAACUUGUUGUUAGCUCUGUGAAUGGAGAAUGGUUAUGCACUUCUGCUGCUAGUGCUUUUGGCUGUAGGCAUGUUGUAUAUUUGUAAUUACUUGUGUUUGUUUGUUCUGUAUGGUUAAACAAAUUUUAAUCCAGUUUCUAUCAACAACACUGUAUACUUGUGGUUGGUUAUUAUAAUGUGUUUAUUCUUGUAGUUAAUCUAUAAUGACUUGUGUUUGUUUAGUAUGAGGGUUGGGGAAGAUGAAGUUCUGUGUAAAUUUA